CUACGGGAGGCAGCAGUGGGGAAUAUUGCACAAUGGGCGCAAGCCUGAUGCAGCCAUGCCGCGUGUAUGAAGAAGGCCUUCGGGUUGUAAAGUACUUUCAGCGGGGAGGAAGGGAGUAAAGUUAAUACCUUUGCUCAUUGACGUUACCCGCAGAAGAAGCACCGGCUAACUCCGAUGCCAGCAGCCGCGGUAAUACGGAGGGUGCAAGCGUUAAUCGGAAUUACUGGGCGUAAAGCGCACGCAGGCGGUUUGUUAAGUCAGAUGUGAAAUCCCCGGGCUCAACCUGGGAACUGCAUCUGAUACUGGCAAGCUUGAGUCUCGUAGAGGGGGGUAGAAUUCCAGGUGUAGCGGUGAAAUGCGUAGAGAUCUGGAGGAAUACCGGUGGCGAAGGCGGCCCCCUGGACGAAGACUGACGCUCAGGUGCGAAAGUGUGGGGAGCAAACAGGAUUAGAUACCCGAGUAGUC
rnacentral:rRNA from 1 species